rnacentral:rRNA from 1 species
GACGAACGCUGGCGGCGUGCUUAACACAUGCAAGUCGAACGAUGAAGCGGGUGCUUGCACUCGUGGAUUAGUGGCGAACGGGCGAGUAACACGUGAGUAACCUGUCCUUUUCUUUGGGAUAACGGCUGGAAACGGCUGCUAAUACUGGAUAUUCAGGCUGCAUCGCAUGGUGUGGUUUGGAAAGGUUUUUUCUGGGAUUGGGUGGGCUCGCGGCCUAUCAGCUUGUUGGUGGGGUGAUGGCUUACCAAGGCUUUGACGGGAAGCCGGCCUGAGAGGGUGGUCGGUCGCACUGGGACUGAGAUACGGCCCAGACUCCUACGGGAGGCAGCAGUGGGGAAUAUUGCACAAUGGACGAAAGUUUGAUGCAGCGACGCCGCGUGGAGGGUGUAGGCCUUCGGGUUGUGAACUCCUUUUUCUCGCGAAAAAGGCACAGUUUUGGCUGUGUUGAUGGUAGUGGGGGAAGAAGCGCCGGCUAACUACGUG